GACGUCACCGCUGCUGUUCUCUCACAGCGGGACCCAGCAGGGAGCAGCAGCGGUGACAUCACUAAGCUCCGCCCAUGCCCCAUGCCAGGUGCACGGAGCGGAGCUAACAGAGGAGAUUACCCGAGAUCCCCGCCACGGAACGGGACAAGCCCAGGCAUAACGGAGGAGGAAUAGUCAGGACUCCUUUAAGAUAUGAAACAAAUUAAAAGCAUGUGUAAAGGAGACACAGAAAAACCAUCACAAGAUUCUGAACAGAAGUUCCUAGAAGAUACCUGAAGGGGCGGAGCCAUCCCCAGGCAGUCAUCUUUCCUUUAUCCAGAAGUGCAACUAUGCAUACUCUAACAUAUUGAUCAGCCAGGAAUUUGGUCCCAUCUGAUAUAUUUUCCCCUUUAUUGGGUCUUCGUUUCGUACUUCUAUCAAGUUUUUCUUCUGAUGCAUCGCUAACUGAAGCCAACCUACAAAGAUCUUCGACAGACUUCCAGAUACAGAUUUUACCUGGACUUCCUUUCUCGUUUAUUCAGCAUGAUCAGACUACAAGUUUUCAGUUUUACAUGACUUUUAUUGUAAAGAAAGAGGAAGUUCAUCUGUUGUAAGGCACCUUUAUUACCUGGGGUGUCACCUGAUUGGCUAUACCUGCACAGCACCCUUGGAUGUAUCUGUGCACAUACAAGUUUUUUGUUUCCUGAAUGUUUUUUCUGUUAACUGUUUCACUGCUAUAUGUUACAGUAAAGAAGG